UUGACAUUUACCUAGGCACAGCUCACAGGCAUGAUAAUGACUCUCAUAUGUGGACCCCACAAGUAGGAGUAAUUUUGACUCUUGUAACUUGCUUUAGAAACAUAAGUGAUGUCUUAGAUCUCUUUCUGGCGAAAAGGUCACAGAAGAUUAUAACAGCCUCAGAUAAUUUGCAGCCCUUGGCUUGUACAGAGAGUGUCAGAACAGAACCCAGCAGAAAGGAGAAAUUGUGAGUCUCAUAUGUACACCCAGCUGACUGUAAGGACUGUCACCAUCUUACAUACAUGAAGCCAACUGUCACACAUGAAAAGAGGACAUGUGUGGUAUUGUAAAUCUCAUCUCGAAUAUUCUCUCAGUGUGACUGUGAUAUAAAUCUUUGCCAAGCAUCUGUGUGAUUUGACUCUCCAAACUGGUUCCAGCCCAUAUAUACGGGAUUGUGAUCUCUACCUGGGCCAACCUCUAGAUAAUGUGACUCUCCUGCCUGGGCCCUUCUCUCAGUAAGGGUUGUGACAUAUCACUGGAUCUAACACCCAAGUGAUGUUACAUUCUUGCCUGGACCAUGCACAGAGACAUCAUUGUGACAUAUCACUGUGUCCACCACUUAGGUGAUGUAACUCUCCUCUCUGGAAUGGACCCUGAAUACGGAGUGGUAGUGACAUCUUCCUAGGCCAGACACACAGGUGUUGGUACUCUUUUUCCAGGGCUAUGUUUCAAGGAGGGCAUUGUGACAUAUCUCUGGACCUAUCACCGAGGUGAUAUGAUUCAACGCUUGGGCCUCACCGACGUAGAACAUUGUGACAUAAAAGUUAAACCUGCACCAAAGGUGUUGUAACUCUUUCACCUUGGUCCUGUCCUAAGGGAGCCCUGCAACAUAUCUCAGGACCCAGCACUCAGGAACAUUGUGACAUCGUUGGACAUAGCAUCUAGGAAAUGUGACUCUUCUCUCCUGCCUAGGUCCUGCCCACUAAAGGAAUUGUGACAUACCACUGAGUGCAAAACCUAGCCCUGUCUACAGUGGACAUGGUACCACAUGACUUGAGGCUGUAUCCAGGUGAUGUGACUCUUCUGACUUGGCCCUGCCUGCAAAGGAAAUUAUAAUAUAUCCUGAGCUCAGAAUCCAGGCGAUGAGACUCUCCUGCCUCUUUUCUGCCCACAAGUGAAAUUGUGACUUAUACCUGCGUUCAGCUCACAUGCACAAAUAUAACUAUUAUACCUGGACCCAGAAAGGAGAGAUAUUUGGACUCUUAUAGCCAGUCCUAUGGCCAUAAGUAAAGUAAAGGGUCCCCUGUUUGUAUAAAGCUCACAGAGGAUUAUGACACUCAGGCACAUCAUAUAAAGCCUGAGUGGUACAAAGAGUGUCAUAGCAGGGAACAGCAACCAGGUGCGAUUGUGACUCUUGGAUGCUCACCCAGCUGACCCGAUUGUCAUUCUCUCACAAGAACAGGGCCUACAUACAAGGCCAUGACCAUAGAUGAAAUUUUGACAUACGUGGACCAUACACCUAAGCGAAGGUGCCUGGGCCUGCCUACAAAGGGCACUUUUACGUAUUACUAGGACCAGCACGCAGGAAGCUUUGUAACCUAGGUGAUGUUUCUCCACUUUUGCCUGGGCCUUGACCACAGGGAAGAUUUUGACACAUUGCUGGGCCCAGCACCAAUGUGAGGUCACCCUCCUGCCUCAGUACUGCACAUAAGGGCCAUUGUGACAUAUAUCUAGACCAAUUGCCUAGGUGAUAUUGCACCAUAAACCUGAGACCAGUAUUCAUGCCUGAAGCCAGGACAUGUUCAGAAUGGUGACUCUCAUCUCUGGGCCUUUCCACAGGUGUUUUUGUGACAUAUACCUUUGCCCAGCUCCUGAGUGAUUUAAUAACUCUUCUUAGGUCUAGCACACACAUGAGAUUUUGACAUAUACCAGGGCCAGGCUCCUUAGUGAUUUGACUCUCUUGUUUUAACAGUGUCCUCAGCGGGGGAUUGUAGCAUACCUUUAUACCCAGCAUCUAGGUUACAUGAUUCUCCUCUCCUGCCUGAACCCUGCUUCCUGUGGAGAUUGUAGCAUUUCUAAGCACUGCUUCCAAAUGAUAUGACUUUCUUACCUGAACCCUGUUCGCAUGAGGCAUUGUGACGUAUCUCUGGGCCCAUAAUUUAAGUGACAUGAAUUUCCUAUCCUGCCUGGACACUGCCCACAAGAGGCAUUGUGCCUCAGAGCUGGGCCUAGCACCCAUGUUAUGCGAAUUUUCUGCCAGGGCCUUGCCUACAAGGAUAAUAUUGGAAUAUUUCUGGCCCAGCAUUUAGGUGAUGUGGCUGUCCUUUCUGUCUCAAAACCACAGAGGGGAUUGUGACAUAUACCUAGGCACAGCUCACAGGCAUGAUAAUGACUGUCAUAUGUGGACCCAGCCAGUAGGAAAAUUUGGACUCUCAUAACUAGGUUUAGGGACAGGAGUGAUAUCCUGGAUCUUUUUCUGGUAAAAAGGUCACAGAAGACUAUAAUACCCACACAUAUUUUAUAAAGCUUUUGGAUUGUAUAGAGUGUCAUAACAUGGCCCAGUACACAGGUGAAAUUGUGAGUCUCGUAUGCACACCCAGCUCACAGUAAAGACUGUUACUCUCUCACAUGAAUGAAGCCAACUGUCAUAUAUAAAAACAGGAUGUGUAUGGUAUAGUAAAUCUUUUUCCUGAAAUUUUCUGCCGUGUGAUUGUCAUAUAAGUUUUUGCCAAG
rnacentral:lncRNA from 1 species